rnacentral:lncRNA from 1 species
AAUUGAUAGCCCUGCUGUUCUUCCCCUCGUCACUCAGCUUGUGUACAGUCAAAUCUCCAAUUUGACAUCAAUCAUCAGCCAGGAAAUUAGCAGGGAGUCCACUUUCUGUGUCAAAGAUCCGUGAGUUUCUCGCUUUUAAUAUUUUUUUAUUAUACUAUAGCAUUUUUUCCCAUCUAUGUGAUUACUUUUGCAACAUGGUGUACUGGCGUGGGAUGGAUAGACAAUACACAGUUUUAUUACCAGGAUGAACGGAUAGAUCAGUCUGUGUUUUCAUAGUGAUUACUGGCAUUGUUGUGAUGGUUUGAAUCAGUUCUUUUGUGUGUAUAGAAUGAGAUGAGCUUGUUUGCUAGAGCAUAACUCAGGAAUUGUUUCAUUGUGUUUAUUUGAUGUGAUGGGCAUGUUAGUGAAAAAUGCAGUUACAUUUUUUUUCAAAACGCCGGUUGAAAAGGUGUGUGUGUGUGUGUGUAUAUAUAUAUGAGAGAGAGAGANNNNNNNNNNNNNNNNNNNNNNNNNNNNNNNNNNNNNNNNNNNNNNNNNNNNNNNNNNNNNNNNNNNNNNNNNNNNNNNNNNNNNNNNNNNNNNNNNNNNNNNNNNNNNUUAGUUGGCCCCAUCAAUCGUGAAGGGCUGUGGCUCCCAGAUUUAGUUCCUUGUAAAAUUUCAAAGAAAAGAAGGUGAACCGUCUCAUAAGGUACAUUUAAAUUUGAUUGAGAAAGUGGAUUUUAUUUUUUCAGGGAUGCUGAUUGGAAUCAAGCAUUUAAUUUUUCAACCGAUUUGGACUUUUUGGCAUCUUGCAUUAAGAAGACUAGAGGUUAGAAACAUACCUUUUCUCUCUCUCUCUCUCUCUCUCUCUCUCUCUCUCUAUCAUUUCUUACAGUUACCUUAUUGUGUUUCUCAGCAGCCAACCAACAUGUUCAUGAUUUAGCUAGAAAAUCUGAUUUAGCAAGUUCAUGAAUCCAAGGAAACAGAAAUUUGUAGAACUGCUUAUUGGUCUGUGAGGAUGAAAAUUAUAGAUAUAUGGGUUAUAACUCAUGGAUGUAAUUUUGAGAGGGAUAAAUAGUUAGUACAAAAUUGAUAGUAUACUUAAUGUUAAGAUUUUCGGUAUCGGAUUCACUUUAUUAAAUAGUAUGUUAAAACCGAGUCAGCCAGCUGUUAUUUUAUUGGGACAGUUGGAGUCUGUUAUAGAACAGUUAAAUCUUAACUGACUAGCUUACAAAUCAAGCUAUCUGGUUGUAUAUAUACUUUUGAGUGUUGUAACUCUAUAAUCAACAUCAACAUUACAAUACAUUUUACUGUCACGAUUUCUCUUCUCUAAAUUCUUUAUAGGCAAACAUGGAGUUCAUGAAUUAUGCUUUGACUAUAUUGUUCACUGUUAACAUUAGGUCCCUCAUUAUUUUCUACUACCCGUCUUUUAUAAUUGUGUGUUGUUUGUACUCUACAAUUUGGACCACUGUUUUUCCUUCCAUCCUGUAAAACUGGGGACUGGGGCAAAAAAAGAAAGUGUUUCUUGCUACGUCUGAGGUGACUGGAUGAGGGAAGGAACAUCAUUUUAAUUUUCUCUGAAUACAAGAAAUCUAUUUGUCUCACGAGACCACUCUUAUGUUUUGGACUCUGAUGAUAUAACAGGAGAUAUUGCAAAACGUUUGUGUACAGCGGCAGAAGUGAAGUUUUUCUUGGAUAGUUUAUUGGGGAAAUCUGUAAGUGCCAAUUAUUUAAAGCCUAACAAGAACUGCAAUUUAACCUCGUGGGUCUCUGGUUGUGAGCCAGGAUGGGCCUGUAGUGAUCUCUCAAGCCAGAAGGUUGAUCUUAAAAAUUCCAAGGAGAUACCUGCAAGAACUUCAAACUGUCAACCAUGUUGUGAAGGCUUCUUUUGUCCUCAUGGUAUCACAUGCAUGAUACGUAAGUACACUGACUGAGAAUCUUUAAAUUAUAUUUUUACCAAGAAGACUGCAAAUAGCUUCUUUAGCAACUUUUAAUUCAACUUUCAAGCUUCUUCACGAUGUUUGCUACUUUUUAACUUUAAAGAUUCAACAAAGAAUUUUAAAUAGAUAUUCAAGGAUUUACAUUUGUUCAGUGUAAUUCAUAUCUUUGGAAAUGUAUCUUGUACCGGUGAGUGUGAUUCGUGCGUAAUUUCUGCAAUGAAAGCCAAUAUUAUUAUAGCAUAUUGAUAUAAAUUAUAAUAAAACUGGCUAUUGUCCAUGUAUAUAUCUUAAAAUCUGUGUCUGAUGCUUCUAUUCUGUCUUUUUUGGCAUUUGCAACACUGUUCUUGAA